rnacentral:misc_RNA from 1 species
AUAUAUAUCAACCUUCUCAUUUGCUGAGUGGUUUGGAUGUGGGGGUUUGCUGGCCUCUUUUAUGAGGUUCAGCUCCCCUGAAAUGCAUUAGCAGAACAAACCUGUUCAUUGGCGUGAUAACUAUCUAUGCUAUUGAAUGUGAAGGGACAGUUCAGCUUUCUAACGGUCCUUUGGACAAUUUAUCAUUU